UUUAAUGCCCACCCGAUCUCCCAGAUAAUACUACUGAGCCUGGUUCCAGCUCACUGCUUUGAGAGGGGAGCCUGGUGGAAGACUAGUCGGCAUCAUAUUUGCACUCUCCCCCAGCCGCACUAUGGAAUGCCAGUAUCUUCCACAGGGGAGCUUUUACAGCAGUGAGGCCUGUGGAGAGCUGGAAAGAAAUAUUUCCUGGAGUUCACCAUCUGUGAGCCAAGCUUUUCUUUUUUCCUUGUGAUGCAACUUAAUGCCUACACUACCCAACUGCAACUUGUGCUUUACAUCGAGUAUUUUGUUUCAUCUUUAAUUUGUAAUCAGUGUACAGGUGCAAGUGAAUAUCAAUUUAAUUUACAAGAUGUGCAGAAGGAAGUCAAAAUAAUACAAAAUUAAUGCUAAAAAGUUUCAGUUCCUGAAGUAAAAUGAUUAUCAUACAGUUUUUCUUUGGGGGUCAAAGUGUCUAACAACAAAAGACAAGAUGCAUGGUGGAAGUUAACAUGGGUGAACUGAUACUACAUGACUCAAAACCCCCAAGCUUAAUUGUAUCACUUGCCCUUUUUUUUCUUUUCUUUUUUAUUUUUUUAUCGCCUGCCCCUGCCUUAAAUCACACUGUUACCUCCCAGAAGACAUUACCUUCAGAAACCUAGGGAGAGGAGUAGACUUCUAUGAGGUUAUCUGCAGUCACCUGCAAUAAAGAAGUACAUGACCUUCCUUCUGACAGAUCAUCAGAAGGUCAAGAUAGUCUCAAACUACGCCACCACACCUAAGUCAUUCACCUCGCUUCAUCUCAUCAUGUAGGCAUUCAUCCAUCACGACCAGUGGUGAAGUGCCACCUGGGCUCAUGAUCUCAGUACACACAGCAAUGCAGGCCCUGGC